AAACAAGGCCGGUUCGGGUUGUAGACAGAAUGGAGAAUGCAAUGAGACGUAAGACCAUAGAGAUGGUCAAGGUGAUUUGGGGUUGCAGUGGACAAGAGCAAGUCACUUGGGAGACCGAGGCAAGAAUGAAGGCUGAUUUUCCGGAAUGGUAUCAUCAGUUCUCCAUGGAAGGUCUAGGGUCGGAUUCGAGGACGAAUCCAUCUCAAGUCGGGGAGACUUGUCAUGUCCCUGAUUCUAGUUAGUGCCUUCGGGCACAGCCAUGGUGCGAGGAGAUGCCCCAGUCAGGUCACACGACCCAAAGACAAGCGUAUCAUGGCUGUACAAGGAUGGUUAAGUGCAUCAGUAGGCUGAGACUUAACCAGAACCUGAUAAGACAAGGGGAACGGAGCUGGACGAGUUCUAAGGCAGCUCGGCCAAGCUGGGAAGUAGCUCUACCAGCUGGAUCAAGUCCUCGAAAGCUUAGUUCAGCUCACACUAGUUUAGGUCAGCUCCAGUAGCUAGACUACUAGCUCACCCAGCUUGAGCAGCUAGCAAUCAGCUAACCUCAGCUCGGUGAAGUGUUGUAGUCUUGGCCAUGUGGCCGGGUCAUGGGUCAUACCAGGCCGUGAGGGAGGCUUGAGUGGCCAAGGAGAGUCCGAUGGGUUUGAGGAUUGGACAAAGGAUCCAGGAAGGAUGGGCAAGUAUGGUGGGCUCAGGUUCGAACAGCCCAACAGGGAAAAGGGGCAGUUAUGCCGAAAAGGUGAGAAUGGCACAAAUGGUACCCAUUCGGGCAUCAGGUGGUGCCUGUUCGGCCAGGCAGUUAUUGGCCUGUCUCUUCCUAUAUAUACAGACCCUAGGAACCGAGAUUUGCCACAAUUUUCCUGAGGAAAAUCUCUGCCCAAAUCGUGAGAGAAAGAAAGAGAGAAAGAAGAAGAAGUGAUCGGCCAAAGCCUUGGCCGAGUGUGUUGGUGACUGAUUCAAUCCGAGAGUUGGUCUGAGGAAGUUGAGAUUGGCUGAUGAUGAGUAACAGAGGCAUGGAGAGGGGCUUGAGCAAUCCGGAAUGCACGCCCAAGGUGAGUAGGAUGGACUAAACCUUCCUGCGAUGGCCACGGUGGAAUUCCGUGUGGGUUGUGGCCGGAAUGGUGAAGCCAGACCUAUCUCUUCUCAUUAUCCUUCUAUUCCAUCUCUCUUUCAUCUCUAUUCUGUAUGGGGCUGAUGAUUCAAAGUCAGAGGGAUGAGAUUAAGAGCAUGCUGAUAUGUAUACUGAUGGACAGCCACGAAUGUCCUGUGUGUGCUGACGGACACACACGGACACGCACGGACAGCCACGGACGUCCUGUGUGUGCUGACGGACACACACGGACACACACGGACACACACGGACACACACGGACAGCCACGGACGUCCUGUGUGUGCUGACGGAUACACACAGACGUCAUGUGUAUGCUGACGGACACCCACGGACGUCAUGUGUGUGCUGACGGACACACACGGACACACACGGAAACACACAGACAGCCACGGACGUCCUCUGUGUGCUGACGGACAGCCACGGACAGCCACGGAUGUAAUACCCCAUCUUAAAAAAAAAAACCCUAAUUUCGGUUUUAUGGAAUUUCUCGGAGAAGCCGAAGGCUUGGGAAAUUUUUAUUGUCAAGGUUAAGGUUAGUCUGGAGUCUAUUAAAAAUAUUCAGCUCAUCAGAUUGGGAGCGGAAAAAUAUUCGAGAUUGACCGCGGGACGAAAAUUCACCAGAAGGCCCGAAAUCGCGUAAAUCGACCGAGAAUCUCGAGGUGGCUUAAUCUAAGGGAUCAUGACGUGGUGUCAACCAUUGAACCUUCUGAGUGUCAACACAAGAAGGAGGUGUAGACGUGCAUGAAGCAGUUCCAUGCAGAUUGACACACAGAAGCACAAGGUGUCGCAAUACCUGCGAUCUGCGCAUGCGAACCGACAUGCAGAGGCCCGUGUGUCGCGAUGCAUGAACAGCAGACAUGCUGAAGGGCAAGUGGACGUCGAGGUGUCUUCUAUCAUGGCUAGUGUAAUGCCCGAAUCCGGCCUCUCGACAAGACUGAACCUGUUUGCUACUUAAUCAAUUUAUUUGCUUGUUUGAUUCAUUUUUAAGUCUUUCAUUUACUAAGUCAUGUUCGAAUCUGAGGUUCUAAAUCAAUUGAACAGAUAGCACAGCGGAAUAACAAUGUGUAAACUUUGUAUUACAUAGAAACAUGAGAUCCAAUACACAACUUCUUAACAGUUUCAUAGACAAUCACUAGUUCGUCCCUAGCAUCAUCUAACCACACGUUACACAGCCUCUCACUGACCGAGCCAUCACGGCUCCUUGCCUUGACCAGAACCAUCCUUAGUUUCUGAAACCACAACCAGGUAAGCAUUAAUCAUAACCAAGAAUAGGACUGGUCGAUCCUACAAUGCUUGGCUUGGUUCCUAGAACAUUGAUAAACCUCAGACAAUAUACUUAUAAUAAGAUAUGAACCUGCCUACCGAAUCCUAAGUCAUUCAACCAACCACCCCUUGACUUAGAAUCAGAUAGACAGCCCAUAAUAGAUAAACAGAACACACGAACAGUCCGGAUCGUCCCGACGUCCAUCCGGAUAGAAUCUAGGUGCGACCGGCCUAGAUGAAGUCCGGCUCAAUGGCCCAACGGACUUCCUUACCUGAUCUGGCCUUGGGCCUGGAUCCAACGGCCAAGUAAGCCUCACGCCCAAUCCGGUCAGGCCAAUGGCCGCUCAGACCUUGCGACUCUUACCCUGGCCUGGACGGACCGUGUACUUGUCUCAACGGACAAGACAUGGUCUGAUCCCUAAGGAACGGACAUGACCUGCCUCAACAGGCACCGCUUGGUACACGCACCCCUUCGGCCUUUGGUACCUCUUGGUCCUCGUACCACUUGGCGUUCGUAACCCUUGGUUACUUACACCCUUUGGCAACUCACAACCGUUGGAAACUCGUGACCUUUGGCCACUCCUGCCUUUUGGGACAUGCCCAACCGUUUAGUCCAACCGCCCAGUCUAUGGUGCGAUUCGAACUGACCGUCUAACCGACCAGCGUCUAGGUUAGCGGUUUGGUAAUAUCCGGCCAGUCUAGGAACGUGUCCCUUGGACUGAACCAACAUAACCCUUCGUGCAUAAUCAGGAAGAUGAGAAAGGACCGGAUAGAAACAAGAAGAGGAGAAGAGGCCGGGUCUAAUGAACCGUCCAGAGCCGCGGUGCGGUCACAAGGACCAUCCGUUCGGACUGGUGCGGCCAAAGCCCACCACGUACCUUCUGAACCAGGUCAGGGUUCUCCACGCUCUUCUCCUUCUCUCGGUCUCAAAUACUUGAUCGGAGGUUGCUUCACAAAUGAUCAGAUCGCCGGAAAUCUAACAACCACACAAUCGGCCAUUCUUUGGCCGGAAACUCUCUCUCUACGAUUUCUCUGAGUAUUCUACUCUGGAUUGGAUGAAUGAAAUCGACAGAGAGGACCCCAUAUUUAUAGAAAAAGAGGGGGUAAGUCUUGCCCCACGAACAGGCAUGACUGGCCAGCGGAUGGGCACAAUCGGCCAAGGGUUACACCCUCUCGGCCGCAUGCGUCCCUUCGCCAAUACCGCAUGGGUUUGGGUCGGACAGAGGCCCAAAGCCUUACCCAACUCUUCUGGACUUAUCCCACAGCCUUGUCCCAAGCCCCAACGGUCCAUGACCUCAUGGCCAGACCCCCAUGGCCUGCCACUGGCCCGGACCCGGACCAUCGGACCGAAACCCGAACAGUCCGUCCAGCUGAGAUAAGCCGACCCCCAGCUGCCUUAGCUGAGUGAGCUAGUAGUCCAGCUAGUGGAGCUGACCUUUUAGUGUCGAGCUACCCGUUGCAUUCGUCCAGCUACCGUCCUGCUUGGUCUAGCUGACUCUCGACUUGUGUAAGGUUAAGUCUAAGUUUCUUACGUCCUUAAACUUCUUAUCCGGCCAUGGAACGCUUGCCUUGAUGUCUUAAGACUGACUAGUACGUUUCCUUGAACCAUGGCCGUCCCAAUGAUCUUAUUCAGGAUCCGGGAUGUUACAAGUCUCCCCCACUAGAAAUGGAUUCGUCCUCAAAUCCGAGUCAUGUGUUUCAUCCAACACAAACUGGGCGAACCAAUUUGGAAACUCGGCCUUCAUCCUGGCCUCCGUCUCCCAAGUGGUCUCUUCUUGACCAUUACAAUCCCAAAUGACCUUGACCAUCUGGAUUGUUUUCUUUCUCAUUACUUUUUCCAUCCUAUCUACGAUCCGAACCGGCCUUGUUUCCAAAGUUAGGUUCGUACCUAGAUCAGAUGGUAUUUCUGGUAUUAAGAUGUCCUGAUCCGUCAAGCACUUCCGGAGUUGGGAGAUAUGGAAUACAUUAUGAAAGGCUUCCAUCUCAGAUGGUAAGUCCAACUUGUAUGCCACACUACCCACUCGUUCUAUGACUCUGAACGGCCUUAGGUAUCUUGGAUCCAAUUUCCUUCUACCAGAAAUUCGCACUCUACCUUUAAAGGUAAUCAUUUUGAGAUAGACCAUAUCACCCACUGCAAACUCCAGUUCUUUCCUUCGUUUGUCAGUGUAGUGCUUUUGUCUGUCCUGUGCGGCCCUCA
rnacentral:lncRNA from 1 species